rnacentral:rRNA from 1 species
CACGAACGCUGGCGGCAGGCUUAACACAUGCAAGUCGAGCGCCCCGCAAGGGGAGCGGCAGACGGGUGAGUAACGCGUGGGAAUCUACCCAUCUCUACGGAAUAACGCAUGGAAACGUGUGCUAAUACCGUAUACGUCCUUCGGGAGAAAGAUUUAUCGGAGAUGGAUGAGCCCGCGUUGGAUUAGCUAGUUGGUGGGGUAAAGGCCUACCAAGGCGACGAUCCAUAGCUGGUCUGAGAGGAUGAUCAGCCACACUGGGACUGAGACACGGCCCAGACUCCUAAGGGAGGAAGCAGUGGGGAAUAUUGGACAAUGGGCGCAAGCCUGAUCCAGCCAUGCCGCGGGAGUGAUGAAGGCCCUAGGGUUGUAAAGCUCUUUCACCGGUGAAGAUAAUGACGGUAACCGGAGAAGAAGCCCCGGCUAACUUCGUGCCAGCCGCCGCUGUAAAAC